GUUCUGAAUGUGAAGAUGGGACACACUUUGCCUGGUGCGCUGGGGUUUUUCUCCCUGAAUAUACUCCUCUACUGUGGACAUGCUCAAGAUAAACCUCAGCCUGACCUCACUGUGUCUCUAUUAUGGCUGAGUCCUGGAGCCUCAGUAACUCUGAACUGCAGUGUUUAACAUCCAUCUGCAGGAUGGAGGUUCUUUUGGUAUAAGGCUGUUCCCAGACCGUCAAACAACUCCUUCUACAGCUUUCAGCGUCUACCUGGCAGCAUCCAUGGGA